UUGUUUAUUCACACAACUCCUAUCACUAAAUGCAGCAUAUAAGUGAUAAAAGUUUUUAAAACAGAAGGAGGUGACAAAUGCACCGGGGCUUGCCUAGGAUAACACUAAGUCAAUGUUAUUAGAUGAUACUCGCUUGGCGAGCAUCUCCCAUCCUAGCACUCGAUUAGAUCCUCCAUCUUUAGGUUCGUCCAUCAGCAUCACCUUGAGAGCAAUCCGGUUCUUGUCCUCCACAUCACGUGAUCAACUAGCAUACCUAAUGAAAUGCACAAUGCACAUGAAUGAAUAUAAACAGGAAUAACACACAACUAAUUAUUGCUAUACCAAAGAGGAUUAAAUAUUUAACCACAAGGCAUCACAACUUUAAUUCAUAAGUAAACCCUAUAUACCUAUGACUCACUAGCACAAUAAUCACGUUCGUCCGGUUUAACCAAGCUAGCUCAAACCUCAAGAAAACAAUAACCAUAGACACGACCUAUAAACACCUAAGCUAGGUAGUCAUCAACAGACUAACGAAACAUAGGUUUAGCCCUUUUGGACACCUAAAUUCAGAAUGCAAAUAGAAGCAACCUAACUAGCUCCUUUUUCGGGUUAACCCGCAUAACACACUAACCGAAUAAAACAUCAAGAAAAUGCUAAACUAUAUGCACACUCUAAACUCUACUAAGCUAGGGCACAUCACGAGAAGAUCAAAACACCUAGGUUCAAUAGGCUUGGACAUUAAAAACUCAGAAGAAGAAUAGAACAAUUCAACUAAGUUUCUAAACUAUUUUCUCAUACUACUAUGCAUAGCACACCAACUAAAUAAAGCAUCAUGCUAUUUGAUCUAGCUGAUAAAAUAUUAUCAAAUAGGAAAGUGUUCCAGAAAACUACAUACUCAAUAAUUUAAAUAUCUAAAGUAUUUGCGUGCACUAUCCACUACAAAGUUCCCAAGUUUCAGUAACCGGCUUAUUUAUACUACUUAUGUUUAGACACUCGAAACAACAAUCACCAUCUUAUUCAAGACAUCUAAAUGAUCACUAGUUAUAAUAUAAUGAUCACUAAAGCAGAGCAUUGACUUCAUCAAACAAAUAUCAUUUGACACGAGCAAUACAGAAAACGCCUACCACCAAAACAUUCAUAGGAUGGAUAGAAUCAAUUUAAUUAAUUGUCUAAACUUCUUUUCUAGACUCACUUGCAUAUUCUACCAACUAAUUAUAAUAUAUUGACUUACCAACUUUGGACACCAAAUAAUCAGGAUAAGGAUGGCAACAAGUUAAUUAGAUUCAUAACCAACAAGGUUUUGCGCAAGCAUCAAGGAAGCAGUAUAUUGGACACAUGACACGAGACAUCGAUUUAAAAAUAUUGGACUCUAUCACAUUACUACAUGAACGAAGCAUUUCACAAGUACUUAAUAUCAUCACUUAUCACGCACAUAGAAUCUAGUUAAAUAUACUCGACAUAUAUACCCACCGAAGCACUCUUCACAUAAAUGGAAUCUUAAACCUAUAUUUCAUAUGACGCAAAUAUGUCACAAAUGUGAACUCCAACACCUUGCAAACCUUGAACCAAUUCACUUAUAUUGGACCUACGUAUCACCAAAGCACUGCUCGCCUAAUCUGCAUCUUAAUUUAAACUUUAUCAUGCACACAAGAAACACCUAUUUUUAGAUUAUGAACACAACUUAGAUAUCUGGCCCAACCAUUCAUUGAUCCAACUAAAACCAAUAAUAAUUCAGUUUACCAAGGCUAAAUUUACCUAGAAUCGCAAGAACAGCGACAGGACCCUGGUUUAGGGCCUGUUUGUUUACCCCAAUGGAUUAUAUAAUCUGGAUUAUUUUUGGAGGAUUAUAUAAUCUGGAUUAUAUAAUUUGGAUUAUAUAAUCUGAGUAGUCCUGUUUGUUUACCCAGAUUAUCUGGCGUGUUUCUGUUGGGCCGCCGGCUUCUCUGAUCCGAUAGGCGCAAAAACGAUUCGGUAGAUUAUAAUGGCAAUGAUGGGUAAUUUCUAGGAAACUUGAAAGGGUAGUGGGGAAGUGGGAAAAAAUAAUCUGAAAUAAGCACCUCCUCACUUGCUUAUGUAUUAUCAUAAUCCAAGGGGUUAGAUUAUAUAAUCUGGGCAAAUAAGCUAGACUGUUUGUUUGCCUCUUAGGAUUAUUUAAUCCAGAUUAUAUAAUCUGAGGGUAAACAAACAGGCCCUUAGUCGAUUAAAUACUAAACAUAUCCUUAGUACUCUCAAUAUAUCUCCUGAAGCUAAAUAAAACACCUCACUUGCUUAAAUAAUAGAUAGGGUACAAUCAAACCUCAUAGAGCUUUACGAGAUUGAAAACCUUAAAAAUUAAAAUAUCUAAAGUACUUAAACACAUCUUUUAAUACGUAGAUCUCAAGUUUUAAUUAGAAUAGAUCUAUCGAUGCUACUCGAUUCUAAAUACUUGAAAAAACCAAAAAAAUAACCAACUAGGACACUUGAUCGGCCACUAGCAGAAAAUAUGACGACUGCUAAAGAAAUCUAUCGAUGUCGUCACACAUAUGCAGUGAGUCUACUACAGACACGUGAACACAAUCGUACCACAUAAAUAGCAUCACAUCAAAUAUAAUAGACCGAUAUUUCGACUAGGGUACUUUGUUAUCAACAAUCUAUCUUCUUUUCAAUCGCACAUGCGAACACAUCAUUGCAAGCGAUUUUGACAUUUCAUCAUCACAUAUGCCCACCAAUUAAUUAACCUGAAUUGCAAAAUUACUCACCAUCACUAAAUCAGGCUCAAUAUUCACAAAACGGCAACAAUAUCUGGUUUGAGCCUUUUGUCGAACGCCUAGUGAGCAACACACUAGAUUUCGCUUUCUCCUUCAUCUGCAGUUCCACCUUCUUCCACACAAAAAAUCCGGACUGGAUGACGUGGACUAGGGAGCAACACAGGAAGUUGCGGCCAUGGCAUGGGCAAGACGACAACGACCACCAUGACUUGCAGACUGUGGCAUCGUGGACAUGUCGAGGACGCAGGGCGAAGAGACGACUCAGCGCAGCAUCGAUAAUACAAAGGCAGAGAUCGAGCAUGGAGAUGGACGAGCUGAGGGAGCACCGUCGGUCGGCAUGCGCUUGGCACAACAAGCAUCGAGGCUGAGCGGGCGUUGGUCCGGGAAGCUGAGCGCGUGGUCAGGGAGGCACACCAACAGACCGUGGCCUAGGCACCAACAGACCGGUGGAGGAGCUGCAGGACAACAGCAUUGGCGAGGGAGAGGCCAACCGCGAUGGUAUGCACCAGGGAGUCGCGGCUGAGUGUGAUGGGGAGGAAGCUCGACACGAGAAAAUGGAAGAAGCACUGUUGCCACUACUGCUCCGAGCAGACCUCAAUGUGGAGGAGCAGGGCGGACGCAUCGGUGUGGUGGAGCUCGGACGACGGGGAAACGACGUCGUUGGUCGAGCACUGGGUGGAGGGUCUCGGCUAAUGAGCCUGACUGCCGGCAAGGUGAGCUGAGGUGAGAGAGAUGAACAACAAGGGACAGGAGGGAGGCAAUGUCCAAGAAGAGGAUUGAACAGGGGCAGGGGUGGUGGGUCCUGGAAAGCGGUAGGCGCUGGGAGAAUCGCUGUGGAUAGCAGCUUGAAGAUGGAGAUGUACGGGAGAUGGAACUCCUAGGAUUAGAACGGCGCCAAGGGAUAAUGCAGAGGCCAAAAGCGUUGGCUGGGGAAAAAAAUCCAGAGAGCGCUACCAUUGGAUGAGAUUGGAUGAGAGGAGUGAGAGAUGGCAAUGGGUAAAUACCCACCGGGUAUUACUACCCCAUACCCAUACCCACGAUAAAAAAUAACCCUAUCGGGUCACCCAUAUACACUGGUGGGUAUGGAUUUACCCCCAUACCCAUACCCAUCUGGGUAUAGGUCACUCAUCGGGUCACCCGUACCCACAAAAAUUAAACAUCUAUCAAAUAUUAUAUUAUACAAAUGUCAAGUAUAUCCAUCUAAAUACCAUUACAACAUUUAUAGCAUCAUUUAACCAUCCAUUCAACACACCAAAGAUAAUUGGAUAAAGUAGUAACACUAGGGCAGUACUACAUAACACAUUACAUGUUCCAUUACAUGGUCAUUAAAUUGUCGUUAAGCCUUCUAUGACAUUAUGGCCUAAAAGGUUGUUAAAUAGCAAAAAAGAUGGAUGACUAAAGUCCAAGUUCAUGCUUGGGCUAAGUUUAUAUUGGGUAUUUUAUAACCACAGGUUAACGGGUAUGGGUGAAGGUUGAACGUUCUAAUACCCGUUUACCCAUAGGGUGAAGAUUUUUACCCAAUAACAGACCCACGAGUAGAAUAUUUAGCCCACAUACAUACCCUAAUGGAGUAAAUACCCAUUGGGUAUCGGGUCGCGGGUAUCCAUUGCUAUCUCGAGUGACAGUGGGGAGGAACUAGGGGAUAUAAAAUGGUGAAAGAAAAAUAGUUUUUUCUUCUCUUUUGUUUUUUAAAAAAGAUAUAGAUAAAUCUGAGUUCUGGGAUUUGGAUUUAAACAAGGCGUAAACGGGCUAAUAUAAAGCGCUAUCGAUUAACGUAUUAUUUUCUCGAAUUUUAAAUAGGAAACUUAAUCAGCUAACAAUUGUUCUGGUUUCAUUUAGUUCAGUUUUGGUCCAUUUUAAACAGUCUGUCCUUAACGACUUUCACUAGAGAGCUCAUAAAAAUUGUUCAGGUAAGACUGAUAUACUUGGUUGACCUUUCCAAUUUGGCUUAAUUGAUAAAUUCUAAACCAACACAAGACUCGACAUUUCUGGUGGUUAUUUAACUCCGAACUUCGUGAAACAUUUUGGACAGUCCAAUUAAACGAAGAAAGAUGCGAUAGCGAAAUCGUGAUAGGCGAAGAUGAUUAGGAUAUAGAUAUAGAGAUUUUUAUUCUCAUCAAUAUCCCGUGCUUAAGUCCAUAAUCGUUGUCGAACGGGAGAUAAACACCUAGGGUGUUACAAUCAUCGAAACCAGAAUUAUCCUCAUCAUCAUCUGUAAACAUAGUAUUUUGAUCAAUGUGUCUCUAAUCAAUGUGUCUCUAAUCAAUGGAGCUCCCAAUGCCACUCAUAACCGUGAGCACGACUGAUAUAUCAGUUUCAUAACACUCUACAGAGGUUGCAUACUUUACCCAUGAGCCGUGAUUCCCUCUCUAGCCCGGGCUUACAAGACCCUUAUUCACUACCGAGGUGAAUGAUUAGGGAUUCACUAUGAAGCCUUUACAAAAAUUUCCUAAGGUUGUAGCCGCUCGUUGGGUUUCCUAAAUGUACCACACUUCUCCCCAAAGGGCAAGCCACCCUCGGCAGAGCGAGCCGCAUACACCGAGCCCCAUUGACGGCACGACAGCGAAGCAAACUACACCUCAGUUCUUCUAAUUAAUUAGCUAAGGGCGCUCCAUUCCACCCUCAUGGCUGUACCGUUUUUCUGGGCGGUCAUCCAAUGAACCAGUUCUUAUGGAGAGGAACUCAAUAAACCGCUCGAGUCCCCUUGAAUGUCACAAUACCAUCAUCAUAAUCAAAGGUAAUCAUCGUAUCAUAAAUAAUCUCAUCAUAUUCGUUGAUUAAAGUGAAGCACUAGCAUAGAGCUAAAUCAAAAUUAUCCAACCCAAAUAGGUGAACAAGGACAAGAUAAACAAAGCUAGUCAAUCCUUAGGUAUAAAUUAUGUAAAUGCGGGGAGUGAAUUAUAAAAUGAGUGGGACAUAAAUAGGUCAGAGGACACUUGCCUUCACCAAUCAACUGCUGCUCAGGGUCUUCACCUGCAACUCCUUUGGACUCUGCCAACGAACCGUUAUCUAUACGAGUUCAAACAUACAUUCCACAAACUUAAUAUAAAAAGAAACAAUACACCACACAAUAAAAUACAACAAUUAAACAGACGUGUGGUACAAUUAAACAGACGUGUGGCACAGGGCUCGCAUCUAUGACUAUGCAAGAGAGAAACUACAGUGGUCGAAGCUACAGUCAAAAGGUAAUUACGUUAAACAGCUAUGGAUUAAAAUACUUGUCUAGACAUAACCAUAUUAAUUUAACAAUCGUGCUAUGAAUACAAUAAAGUUACGCUACACACUUAAUUAUUAUAAACCACUCUAAUGCAUAAUUUAAACGGAAUUAAAAUGAAUCGUCGCAUAAUGAAGCGCACGACGCAACAUGACUCAACCUGAAAUUAAAAAGAAUCGUCGCGCGAUGAAGAGUGCGACAGCGUACGCGAUCUAAACUGAAAUUAAGACGAGUUGUUGUGCGAUGAAGCGCGUGACAGCACACACGAAUUAAGCUGAAAUUAGAACAAACCGUCGCGCGAUGAAGUGCUCGACAACACACAUGGAUUAAACUGAAAUUAAAAUGAAUCAUCGUGCGACAAAGUGCGUGACACAACACUUAAACUAAACUAAAAUUAGAGCGGAUCGUCGCGUGAGGAAGCGCGCGAAGCAACACACUAAUAAAUCUGAAUUUAAAAUGAAUCGUCGCGCGACAAAGCGCGUGACGCAACACAUUAAUUAAACUGAAUUUAAACUGAAUUUAAAAAUUACGCACGCUAGGGCUGCAUGCACGGGGUUAGGGCUGCGCGCGCCGGGAGCUGCCGCGGGCCAGGGCGAGCCGCGCCACAGGCCACCGCGGAGGGAUGCGCUCGGGGAGAGGGAAGGAGAAGAGGGAGAGAAGAGAGGGGAGGGGAAGCUCACCUCGAGGCUCGAUGAUCGGCGUCAACCG
rnacentral:lncRNA from 1 species